AGGUUAAGUUAACAAGGGCGCAUGGUGAAUGCCUUGGCACUAGGAGCCGAUGAAGGACGGGACUAACACCGAUAUGCUUCGGGGAGCUGUACGUAAGCUAUGAUCCGGAGAUUUCCGAAUGGGGCAACCCAGCAGUUUUAAUCAACUGUUACCACUAGAUGAAUUCAUAGUCUAGUUGGAGGUAAACGCUGUGAACUGAAACAUCUCAUUAGCAGCAGGAAUAUAAAGAAAUUUCGAUUCCCUAAGUAGCGGCGAGCGAACGGGGAACAGCCCAAACCAAAGUGCUUGCACUUUGGGGUUGUAGGACUGAACAUUUGAGUUACCAAAGAACUUGAUAGUCGAAGGAUUUGGGAAAAUCCGCCAUAGAUGGUGAUAGCCCAGUAGAUUAAAUCAAAUUCUCUCAGUUCAGGAUCCUGAGUACGGCGGAACACGUGAAAUUCCGUCGGAAUCCGGGAGGACCAUCUCCCAAGGCUAAAUACUACCUAGUGACCGAUAGUGAACCAGUACCGUGAGGGAAAGGUGAAAAGCACCCCGGGAGGGGAGUGAAAUAGUUCCUGAAACCAUGUGCCUACAAUAAGUCAGAGCGCGUUAAUGCGUGAUGGCGUGCCUUUUGUAGAAUGAACCGGCGAGUUAUGAUCCCGUGCAAGGUUAAGACUAAAAAGUCGGAGCCGUAGCGAAAGCGAGUCUGAAAUGGGCGAUUUGAGUACGAGGUUAUAGACCCGAAACCAGGUGACCUAUCCAUGUCCAGGUUGAAGGUGCGGUAAAACGCACUGGAGGACCGAACCCGUGUAAGUUGAAAAUUGCUGGGAUGAGGUGUGGAUAGCGGUGAAAUUCCAAACGAACUUGGAGAUAGCUGGUUCUCUCCGAAAUAGCUUUAGGGCUAGCCUCGGAUUAAGGAUCAUGGAGGUAGAGCACUAUUUGGACUAGGGGCCCGUCUUGGGUUACUGAAUUCAGAUAAACUCCGAAUGCCAUUGAUUCAUGUCCGGGAGUCAGACGAUGAGUGAUAAGAUCCACCGUCGAAAGGGGAACAGCCCAGACCAUCAGUUAAGGUCCCUAAAUGUAUGCUAAGUGGAAAAGGAUGUGGAGUUGCAUAGACAACUAGGAUGUUGGCUCAGAAGCAGCCACCAUUUAAAGAGUGCGUAAUAGCUCACUAGUCGAGUGAUCCUGCGCCGAAAAUGUACCGGGGCUAAGCAUACUACCGAAACCAUGGAUGCGACCAUUAGGUCGCGUGAUAGGAGAGCGUUCUAAGGGCGGUGAAGCAAGAUCGUGAGGACUUGUGGAGCGCUUAGAAGUGAGAAUGCCGGUAUGAGUAGCGAAAGAUAGGUGAGAAUCCUAUCCACCGAAUGACUAAGGUUUCCUGGGGAAGGCUCGUCCUCCCAGGGUUAGUCGGGACCUAAGUCGAGGCCGAGAGGCGUAGACGAUGGAUAACAGGUUGAGAUUCCUGUACUAGUUAAGUGCGUUUGAGCAAUGGAGGGACGCAGGAGGCUAAGAUGUGCAUUCUGUUGGAUUAGAAUGUCCAAGCAGUAAGUCUUGUGGAGAGUCAAAUGCUUUUCACUUUAAGGACAAGCUGUGAUGGGGAGCGAAAUUUAGUAGCGAAGCGUCUGAUGUCACACUGCCGAGAAAAGCUUCUAGUGAGUACUUAACUACCCGUACCGCAAACCGACACAGGUAGUCGAGGAGAGAAUCCUAAGGUGAGCGAGUGAACUCUCGUUAAGGAACUCGGCAAAAUGACCCCGUAACUUCGGGAGAAGGGGUGCUGAUCGCAAGAUCAGCCGCAGUGAAUAGGCCCAGGCGACUGUUUAUCAAAACACAGGUCUCUGCAAAAUCGUAAGAUGACGUAUAGGGGCUGACGCCUGCCCGGUGCUGGAAGGUUAAAAGGAUGGGUUAGCUUCGGCGAAGCUCAGAAUUGAAGCCCCAGUAAACGGCGGCCGUAACUAUAACGGUCCUAAGGUAGCGAAAUUCCUUGUCGGGUAAGUUCCGACCCGCACGAAAGGCGUAACGAUCUGGGCACUGUCUCAACGAGAGACUCGGUGAAAUUAUAUUGUCCGUGAAGAUGCGGACUACCCGCGACAGGACGGAAAGACCCCAUGGAGCUUUACUGUAGCUUGAUAUUGAGUGUUUGUACAGCUUGUACAGGAUAGGUAGGAGCCAUAGAAACCGGAACGCUAGUUUCGGUGGAGGCGUUGGUGGGAUACUACCCUCGCUGUAUGACCACUCUAACCCGCACCACUAAUCGUGGUGGGAGACAGUGUCAGGUGGGCAGUUUGACUGGGGCGGUCGCCUCCUAAAAAGUAACGGAGGCGCCCAAAGGUUCCCUCAGAAUGGUUGGAAAUCAUUCGCAGAGUGUAAAGGCACAAGGGAGCUUGACUGCGAGACAGACAGGUCGAGCAGGGACGAAAGUCGGGCUUAGUGAUCCGGUGGUACCGUAUGGAAGGGCCAUCGCUCAACGGAUAAAAGCUACCCUGGGGAUAACAGGCUUAUCUCCCCCAAGAGUCCACAUCGACGGGGAGGUUUGGCACCUCGAUGUCGGCUCAUCGCAUCCUGGGGCUGUAGUCGGUCCCAAGGGUUGGGCUGUUCGCCCAUUAAAGCGGUACGCGAGCUGGGUUCAGAACGUCGUGAGACAGUUCGGUCCCUAUCCGUCGCGGGCGUAGGAAAUUUGAGAGGACCUGUCCUUAGUACGAGAGGACCGGGAUGGACAUACCUCUGGUGUACCAGUUGUGCCGCCAGGCGCAUCGCUGGGUAGCUACGUAUGGAUGUGAUAAACGCUGAAAGCAUCUAAGUGUGAAACACACCUCGAGAUGAGAUUUCCCAUUCCUUUAUGGAAGUAAGACCCCUGAAAGAUGAUCAGGUAGAUAGGUUAGAAGUGGCAGUGCGGUGACGCAUGAAGCGGACUAAUACUAAUCGGUCGAGGACUUAACCAAG
rnacentral:rRNA from 2 species